GCGGGGAUGCCGGAGUGGCCAAACGGGGCAGACUCAAAAUCUGCUGGCUUAGUGCCUACGAGGGUUCGAAUCCCUUUCCCCGCA
rnacentral:tRNA from 1 species